AUUGAACGCUGGCGGCAGGCUUAACACAUGCAAGUCGAGCGGAGAUGAGGUGCUUGCACCUUAUCUUAGCGGCGGACGGGUGAGUAAUGCUUAGGAAUCUGCCUAUUAGUGGGGGACAACAUUCCGAAAGGAAUGCUAAUACCGCAUACGUCCUACGGGAGAAAGCAGGGGAUCUUCGGACCUUGCGCUAAUAGAUGAGCCUAAGUCGGAUUAGCUAGUUGGUGGGGUAAAGGCCUACCAAGGCGACGAUCUGUAGCGGGUCUGAGAGGAUGAUCCGCCACACUGGGGCUGGGACACGGCCCAGAGUCCUACGGGAGGCAGCAGUGGGGAAUAUUGGACAAUGGGGGGAACCCUGAUCCAGCCAUGCCGCGUGUGUGAAGAAGGCCUUAUGGUUGUAAAGCACUUUAAGCGAGGAGGAGGCUACUGAGACUAAUACUCUUGGAUAGUGGACGUUACUCGCAGAAUAAGCACCGGCUAACUCUGUGCCAGCAGCCGCAGUAAGAC
rnacentral:rRNA from 1 species